rnacentral:rRNA from 1 species
AUGUCGGUUGCACUUUCCGGCGCGCACAGCAUCGGCCGCUCCCACUGCUCCUCCUUCCGUGACCGUCUCCAGCCGCCGGCCAACGACAACUCCACCACAUCGAUGGACGCCACCUACGCUGGGAAGCUGACUCAGGACUGCCCUGCCGGUAGUGAUCCAACGGUGCCGCAGGACUACAAGACCCCCGACGUGCUGGACAGCCAGUACUACAGGAACGUGAUGGAUCGCAAAGUGCUCUUCACCUCCGACGCAACGCUCAUGACGUCACCAAAGACCAAGGAAUUGGUGGAAAAGUACACUUGGUGGUUGAUCGGAGAUUUCUUGUGGUACAGACAUUUCGAGGAUGCCAUGGUGAAAAUGGGCAAUAUUGAGGUGAAGAACAGCACCAACGGCCAGAUCAGGAAGAAGUGCGGGUUCGUGAACGAGCCCUACACCGGUUGA